rnacentral:ncRNA from 13 species
CCUUCGAUAGCUCAGUUGGUAGAGCGGUGGACUGUAGUUGGUUUCUUAAAAAUAUGGACAUCCAUAGGUCGCUGGUUCAAAUCCGGCUCGAAGGA